GACGAACGCUGGCGGCGUGCUUAACACAUGCAAGUCGAACGGUAAGGCCCCUUCGGGGGUACACGAGUGGCGCACGGGUGAGUAACACGUGAGCAACCUGCCCUUGACUCUGGAAUAACAGUUGGAAACAGCUGCUAAUACUGGAUAUUCAUCGUCUCCUUCCUGGGGGGUGGUGGAAAGCUCCGGCGGUCAGGGAUGGGCUCGCGGCCUAUCAGCUUGUUGGUGAGGUAAUGGCUCACCAAGGCUUCGACGGGUAGCCGGCCUGAGAGGGCGACCGGCCACACUGGGACUGAGAUACGGCCCAGACUCCUACGGGAGGCAGCAGUGGGGAAUAUUGCACAAUGGGCGCAAGCCUGAUGCAGCAACGCCGCGUGCGGGAUGACGGCCUUCGGGUUGUAAACCGCUUUCAGUAGGGACGAAGGGUGACCGACGGUACCUACAGAAGAAGGACCGGCUAACUACGUG
rnacentral:rRNA from 1 species